UCGAGCCCGGCCGAAGUAAGAAGUUGUAAAUAAGGCGGAGGUUUUCCGCAGCUCCCGUCGGUGCCCGUCAGUCGGUGUUGCCUUCCUCACAUCGCCCGCACCGCCCUGCGAGCCCGUGCGAGCCCGGAACGCAUCUCCCCGUUGUUCUGCCUAGCUGCGUCCCCAGAGAUCGUAGCUCCUUUUUGAAAAGGAUACGUAUAUCAGAAUUUCGUAAUAAUCCGUCUCUCUUUAUUUUGAGAAAAAGACAUUCAUUAGGUGCUGCAACACACAUGACAUGCACAAUCUAAAACCUUUCACGAAUCAUUUCCUCCCAGGGAAGUUUCCGAUGCAUUUUUCAACACUCCCUGCUGUCAUAACUAAACACUUCCUUACAGCUUGAAUUAUGCUUUUAAAACUUCAAGCUGGAUAAGAGCACAGAAGCACAGCAGUAGAGUUUGCAAAUUACAGAAUUCUCCAUGAUUCUCUGAUUAAAACAUAUAGAUCGAAUGAUGGUCUCACUGGCUCAUGAACUAUUUGAGAUCAGAAAUCGAGUGAUUUGUCACUGAUACAUUGACUUAUUAGUAGGAAUAGCGUGGCUUAGAGAAAUCAGUCAUGCCUUCACGCCAGCCUCCUGGGCUUAAACUACUGCUUUGGUUCCAGUUUCACAUGCAUCCUUCACAUUUGCAUGUGUAUAACAAAUGCAGAUAAUGUGGACACCAUGUCUAUCUAUCAUUCAUAUCUAUCUGCAAUCAAUCUGUUAUUUAAAAGGACAUAUUAACCCAGCAGGCUCACACACAGAUAGGACACUGAAGCGAUGUAAUGUAAGCUGAAAUUCAUCUGAAAGUGAGGGUGACACAUGACCAGGCACUGGACAUCUAAAUGAGGAAACAUCUGUGUGGCAAAGAGCUAAUUAGAGUUAGUGGUGAAGUGGAAGGGUUGUUAUGUGAUUAAUGAAAUAAUAUGGAGGAAUGCAGUGAGCAUAAAUAGUUCUAUAUAUCCAAAUGAAAAAUGCCUUGGACGUGAAAUUACAGUUGGUGGUUUUAUGCUGAUGCAUUUUAUCCAAAGGACAAUCACCUGAACUCCACCUCUCUCCAGUGACUGAGCAUACCAUUGUUUUCUCAUUUCCAGUACAAUCCUAUUUACAGAGAUAAUUUGUUCGAAUAAUGCAAACAUGUGUACCAAAGCAACAUACCAAGAAGCUACUGCUUGUUCUCAUUUGAAAACCAGCGGUCAUUUGGAGAAGUUAAUUCAAAGCUAAUCACUCCUAGAUACUAUAUGAUACCAUGUCAGGAUUCUUAAAAAGCUAUUGGGACGGAACAUAGAAACUAAGGGUUACAAAUGGAAGUGUUUAAUUGGCAUUCUUUAUAGUCAAAUAUAUAAUAUUUUAAAAGUACUGUAUUACUUUUUCCUCCAAAAUAUUAUCUUUAGUGAACUUGUGUUUUGUAUUCAGAGCUCAGCCUAUAGAGGAUACUUAAUGGUUUAUGCCUUAGUAAAAGCAGCAGUAAGAAUAGCUGAAUGUAAUUGCAGCAGUUUAGGAAGGAGCACAAACAGUAACUCAGCACCAGGGAGGUGUCCCGAUGAACUGUGUGGUGACCUUCCGCCUCUUUAAUUGUGUUCCUGAAAGCUGGUAACUAUGUGUUUCUCUACACUUGCUAACAAAUAUUUACUGCAUUUGCUCAUCUAGCAUUUGCUGUAACAUAACAAUAUGAGGCACGUGGUCACUUGAUGACAAAUCUCAACAAAUAUAUUUUUCCCUCAGAACCGUUGUAACGUGUCUUCACGUGCCAUGGAACCGACUGGGAGGUCAUGAGCCGGAUACAUCAGAUGGGAUAUCAAAUAACGCAGCAGCACCGUCUCUUAGCUUUAGGUGUAGAUUAUUUUAGAUGGAAAGGUAAAACAUAAUGAAGGCGCUACAUACAAGGCAGCUGCUAUUUAUUAAACUGUUGUUUCUUGAUAAGCAAAGCAGAAUGUUCAUCCUCUGGAAAUUGGAGGAACCCAGUCAAAUAACCACUCCAUUUGCAGAGACAAACUGUCUACAGAGAUAGUUUUUUCUGCCAAACACCUUAGCACAGGUUAUUAUAAAAAUUGUCACAUUUGAUUUGAGGCCUCAGGUGCAACUUCAAAACAAAGGACGAGUUUCUAACUUGUGAUGGAUGGUACCAAUCACUGUGUGACUCAGGCUGUUCCUAUGGUUUCACACACAGUAUGCAGCACAGUGCAUAUUCUGGGUUGUAUCAGAGUGUGUGGGCAGGCAUUUCUCUUCAGGAUCUGGUCCAGAAUUGUUUGUUUGCAGUAGUUUAUGGCUUGGCUCAUCUAUUAUGGUGUUGUGAUUGCUGCCCCCGGCCUCCAAAGAUUUUUUUCAGAGAUAUGUCAGGACUUGCCACCCAAUUUUUCAUUUGUUUUUAAAAAAACUAUCUCUGCUUCAGUUUCUUGUGCUUCUUACCAUCAGAUGAUGCCUGGCUCCAGCGGGAGAGCGCUUGACACAGUGCUAGAAAGCAUCCUCUACAGGCCCACAGAAGUUUUUUUCAAACUGGAACACACUGCUGGAUGUAGUCAUAAGUCAGAAGUUCCUUUCUUCUUCGCUGCUUUCAGUCAUUCCAGUAUCUGUAGAAAAGGGUAGACAGACAUGGCAGGAGAGUUGCUAUAGCUUGCCAUGGAUGUACUUCUCCACAUUCUUAAAACAAUUCGGUUCUUUCUGCCUUUCACCCCUUCCCGACUCAGGGUCACUCGCCCAUCAGGCAGCUCCGUCUAGAGGCUUCCCCUGUGACCCAGCAUUCCCACCCAGCCUCUCAGCUAGACAUGCCUGGUUGGGGAACAAGCUGGCCAAGCCUUUUCUUGCUCCUUUUGAAUUUCCCCUCAGUUUCUGAACACCAGGAUUUCCUCAAGCUAGGCACAACAUUACAAACUGGGGUUUUGCAGGGGUUUUUUUCAGUUAUUGGAAAGAUGGUCUGAGUUAUAAGAUAGCAUUUGAAAUAAAGCUAUUAAAAUAUAUUGUUUUGUAGGUUCUGCAGUUGAUAGAACUAUUACAGUCCCAUGGGAAGCAGAAGCAAAAUCAGUUGGAUAAACAUAUAAAAAUGUGCAAUUAUUUUUAACUAGUGGAUAAAACGCUGCAGAGAAAUAGUUUUUGUUUCACAUGACUGUAAAUGAAUAGCUUAAACUCAAGGAUGGUUUAUUUCUUUGUGCUGUUUCAUAUUUUCCUUUCAACAUCAGUUACUGGUGGUAACUGGAGGUGAGUAAUUAGCUCUGGCAAAGGGAGCUUAUCAGCCUGGUUUCUGUGAUGGUAAAUCCAGAUGCCAGGUGACUCAAAUCAUAGCAGACAAAAGACUAGCCCUGCUUGUCUGAAUGAAAUAUAGGCAUUGUAGUUUCUAGUGUUUGAAUUUACACCUUCUGGCAUCACUCAGUCAAUCAGAAUGUGUAAUUAGCCAAAAAAAAGGAGCAUUGUGGCUGCAUCUCACAGGAGUGUCAAAGAACAUCCACUGUCUACUACACACUCAAGGGCACAAGCCUGAUCUCAGUGAGUCACUGUGUAUCUAGAGAUUCAAAUGAAAACAGGCUUAUUACAUGUUAGCGAAGGCCCAGAAGACUAAAGUGUAAGCCAGGCAUCCUACAGAGAAAGUAAUGUUCUGCCAUCUGACAGGCACAGAUCGCCACCCUAAGUGUCUGCACAGAGGUACCUUGGCAUCAGCAAGGGGCAAAGAAAGGUUAAAAAAAAUGAAACCCCAGUAGAGGAUGCAGCAAAAGCAAAAGCAUAAUUUCUUCUGUCCUCUCCUGCUCCUUUAGACUUAUUUCAGCCUCAUUAGAUCACCUAGCAGUUUUUCUAAGAGAGCACAUUUUCUUACACCAUCCAGUUUUGGAAACCUCCAAGAAAUUUAAUCAUCCAGCUCAGAUGUGAAAGCUCCACUCCCUCACAAAGGAUACUGUGUGUCAGAAAACACAGUGGAGAUGGGACUGGACUUUCUAAAAUAAUGUAUAUGGUGUCCAUGCUGUUCCAGAAAAAAGAAACUAGCUGCCCAAGCUGACAAUGAGGAGAGAGACUGCAUGCUUAUGUAUGCACAUAGGCCAUUUUGAAAUAAUUUUCUCUAGUGUUUUGUUCCUUUUCCUAAUAAGCCAACUUGUUUAUCACUAUAGCAACCAGUGACAGAUUCCUGGAAAGAAGAGCUGCAAAUGCUCAUUUGGACCUCUGUGGUCAUGGGCUUCUGGUAAGAGCAAGGUGUCACACCUGCCUCCCGGAGCUCCGAAAUGCCACACAGGGACAGAGCAGGGUGAGGCAGGUGUGACCUGGUGUGACAUAGUUUGAGGGGGAUUCAAUUAUCCUUCUGUGCCACAGGCUUUGGUGAUGAAGACUGGAAGAGGUGGGAAAUGGAUGUGCAAAUACCCUGCUCAGUGGAGAUCCUCCAGGUGCGGUAUAGAUGGGUAUCAAUGCUCUCACCAAACAUCUGCUGCCAGCAAACACCUCUGAGCCUCCCACUGGUGCUGAGCCAUGUUCCAGGUGACAUCUCACAACCACAGCAUUUGUUCAAGUGGCAAAGAACUGCAAAAUGCCUUGUUGACAGAAUAAAUAGUUUUGGCGUAAUCAGGUGUGGACUUCAAUCAGCACUGCCAGGUGCAAGCAAACUUCUCGGCAAGCCUGAAGACUAAAUCAGUGCUGUGUGAAUCUGUUAUCUUCUAUCUUACUUCUCAAAACUGGAUCUGGGCUGAUUGCAGUAACACUGAGACAGCUUGCAAUCACCAUGGCUUGCCUGUACAGGUCCAAUUUUGCCUGUACUACCAAAAAGAAAGAGGAGUUUGCUGCCUUCUGGUGCAGGAUGUGAAUGGGGGUGCUUCUAAGGCAGCGAAGAUGGCAUCCUUGUAGUGGAUAAAACAGCCGUGGAAAAAGGGUCACACCGUAUCAACACCAAGCAGUAACUCAUGGGCGGGAGUGUUACUUGAAACUCUGCCUCUUUUUUUCUCUCAAAUACUCUAGACGAAAAAGAAGGGACAGCUGGUCUUGGUCAGCACCCAGUUGGCCUGCACGCUUUGUCAAUAUGUCUGCAGAUUACUGCUGCCUUUCCAUCUGUUCAUGGCAUCUUCUCCCACACUGAAAUUCUCAUUGAACCUUGGAAUGGCCAUGAUACUGUAAAUAGACAAGUUACACAGUAUCCUUGUGCUGAGCUUGCAAAACCCAGCUCCAGAUUACCUGGGUUCAAUGGCACUGAGGAACUGGCUCUCCUUUGAUGGUAUUUGUAACACUGGUGAUACUUGCCACUGAGCCACAGAGCUAAUAUAUUCCUCCUUCCCUCUUCACUUACCUUCCCAGUAUUUCUUCUCUGCAUUGUCCCAACAGGAUGUCCCUAGAGCCUGCUAGCUUGUCAAACACAGCACACUGCUCUGUGCUGGAGAGCAUAUGGGCAACAAAACAAGAGUUUGCAGCUGGAAUUUGAAUGUGGCUUUGAAUUGCUUAAAAAAUCAAGGUAUUUGCUUAGAAGAAAAAAUCGUAGAAAUGAUGGACACAAAAGGUGGCGUAGACCAACUACUGGCCUCAAGCCAGGAACAAUUGUUUAAACUUCCUAUGACAAUAAUACAGCCAUCUCCUGAUGUAGUGCCUGACUGUGCUGAUGGCAAGAAAGUUCACCUGAUAUUUAACACAAGUGUUAAUGUUACUAUAUAUUCACAGGUUACUGUCUCCUUGUAAAUGGAAAAUAACUGACCACUUUCACAUUCAUAGCAGCAUAGACAACUAUGACUAAUACCUCCCCUGCGUAUCUGCUUUCCUACAAAGAGCAAUUUUUUUCCUAGAAAUUUUUUAAUGCACAAUA